rnacentral:rRNA from 1 species
CUACGGGGUGCACCAGUAGGGAAUUUUCGGCAAUGGGCGAAAGCCUGACCGAGCAAUGCCGCGUGAACGAUGAAGGCCUUCGGUUUGUAAAGUUCUGUUAUCAGGGAAGAACAUACGGAUUAGGAAAUGACUCCGUACUGACGGUACCUGAUCAGAAAGCUCCGGCUAACUACGUGCCAGCAGCCGCGGUAAUACGUAGGGAGCAAGCGUUAUCCGGAAUUAUUGGGCGUAAAGCGUGCGUAGGCGGUUCGUUAAGUCAAAUCUGAAAGCCCACAGCUUAACUGUGGAGGGCGAUUUGAAACUGGCGAACUUGAGUACGGCAGAGGUUAGUGGAAUUCAAUGUGUAGCGGUGGCAUGCGUAGAUAUAUUGAGGAACACCAGUGGCGAAGGCGGCUAACUGGACCGGAACUGACGCUGAGGCACGAAAGCGUGGGGAGCAAACAGGAUUAGAUACCCUGGUAGUC